rnacentral:rRNA from 1 species
UACCUGGUAGUCCACGCUGUAAACGAUGUCGACUUGGAGGUUGUGCCCUUGAGGCGUGGCUUCCGGAGCUAACGCGUUAAGUCGACCGCCUGGGGAGUACGGCCGCAAGGUUAAAACUCAAAUGAAUUGACGGGGGCCCGCACAAGCGGUGGAGCAUGUGGUUUAAUUCGAUGCAACGCGAAGAACCUUACCUACUCUUGACAUCCACGGAAUUCGCCAGAGAUGGCUUAGUGCCUUCGGGAACCGUGAGACAGGUGCUGCAUGGCUGUCGUCAGCUCGUGUUGUGAAAUGUUGGGUUAAGUCCCGCAACGAGCGCAACCCUUAUCCUUUGUUGCCAGCACGUAAUGGUGGGAACUCAAAGGAGACUGCCGGUGAUAAACCGGAGGAAGGUGGGGAUGACGUCAAGUCAUCAUGGCCCUUACGAGUAGGGCUACACACGUGCUACAAUGGCAUAUACAAAGAGAAGCGAACUCGCGAGAGCAAGCGGACCUCAUAAAGUAUGUCGUAGUCCGGAUUGGAGUCUGCAACUCGACUCCAUGAAGUCGGAAUCGCUAGUAAUCGUAGAUCAGAAUGCUACGGUGAAUACGUUCCCGGGCCUUGUACACACCGCCCGUCACACCAUGGGAGUGGGUUGCAAAAGAAGUAGGUAGCUUAACCUUCGGAGGGCG